UCCGAACUGAGACCGGCUUUUUGGGAUUCGCUCCACCUUACGGUAUCGCAGCCCUCUGUACCGGCCAUUGUAGCAUGCGUGAAGCCCAAGACAUAAGGGGCAUGAUGAUUUGACGUCAUCCCCACCUCCCUCCGAGUUGACCCCGGCAGUCCCCCAUGAGUCCCCGGCAUAACCCGCUGGCAACAUAGGACGAGGGUUGCGCUCGUUGCGGGACUUAACCCAACAUCUCACGACACGAGCUGACGACAACCAUGCACCACCUGUGUACGAGUGUCCAAAGAGAACCCCGUCUCGGGGGCUUUCUCGUACAUGUCAAGCCUUGGUAAGGUUCUUCGCGUUGCAUCGAAUUAAUCCGCAUGCUCCGCCGCUUGUGCGGGCCCCCGUCAAUUCCUUUGAGUUUUAGCCUUGCGGCCGUACUCCCCAGGCGGGGCACUUAAUGCGUUAGCUGCGGCACGGAACUCGUGGAAUGAGCCCCACACCUAGUGCCCAACGUUUACGGCAUGGACUACCAGGGUAUCUAAUCCUGUUCGCUCCCCAUGCUUUCGCUCCUCAGCGUCAGUUGCGGCCCAGAGACCUGCCUUCGCCAUCGGUGUUCCUCCUGAUAUCUGCGCAUUCCACCGCUACACCAGGAAUUCCAGUCUCCCCUACCGCACUCUAGUCUGCCCGUACCCGAUGCAAGCCCGAGGUUGAGCCUCGGGAUUUCACACCAGACGCGACAGACCGCCUACGAGCUCUUUACGCCCAAUAAUUCCGGACAACGCUUGCGCCCUACGUAUUACCGCGGCUGCUGGCACGUAGUUAGCCGGCGCUUCUUCUGCAGGUACCGUCACUUGCGCUUCUUCCCUGCUGAAAGAGGUUUACAACCCGAAGGCCGUCAUCCCUCACGCGGCGUCGCUGCAUCAGGCUUGCGCCCAUUGUGCAAUAUUCCCCACUGCUGCCUCCCGUAGGAGUCUGGGCCGUGUCUCAGUCCCAGUGUGGCCGGUCGCCCUCUCAGGCCGGCUACCCGUCGACGCCUUGGUAGGCCAUCACCCCACCAACAAGCUGAUAGGCCGCGAGCCCAUCCCCCACCGAAAAACUUUCCAACCCACACCAUGCGAUGCGAGCUCAUAUCCGGUAUUAGACCCCGUUUCCAAGGCUUAUCCCGAAGUGGAGGGCAGGUUGCUCACGUGUUACUCACCCGUUCGCCACUGAUCCACCCAGCAAGCUGGGCUUCACCG
rnacentral:rRNA from 1 species